rnacentral:lncRNA from 1 species
AGGUACAGGAAAACAUAACUGGCAAGGCUGUAAAGUUCAUCAAGAGGGCUAAAUGUAAUGUCAGCAGUUGAUCAGGUAUUAUUAUGAGACUCCGAGAAAGGUUUACAACGCGGCAUGUCUAGGUAGCGAGAGGAUUAUGGACUUGUCCGAUGAACUGCACAACUCCGGUCAUGUCUUCUCUGAUAAGGAAGAGAAACGGGCGGUCUGCAACAAAGUCGAUCUUAUCGAACAUUUGUAAAGACCUCAGUUUUAUGACACCAGCUGAUGCAGCAGCAGCUUCUGUGCCUUCUUCGUUGACUUCGAUGAAGGAUUUGUGGAAUAUGCUUGAAACAUACAGCUUUUGACCCAUAGGAGAAUCCACCAUCUCGGUAAGACCGUCACCGGAGAAGGGCAAAACCAGCCCUAGUUCCUUUAAGACUUCCGAUGCUUCGAAGCCAAAUGAGAUUUUGAAUUUGGGAAUGCGGAAGUCGCCAACUUCUACUUUCUGGUAUGGAAUAUGGCGCUCGAGGAAUCCAGCUACUGAACCAACUUCCUCCACUAAUUUCGGCAACCCAUCUUUUGCAUCUGGAAGAAAGAAGUACAUGGAAAAUUGGCGUUUGUCACCUCCUUGUUUAUAAGGAAGCCCCAACACUUUGAAACCAUCAAAUGCGCUGAUCAAUUGCUUUUUCUUGCUGGUCAUGAAGGGAACUUGAAUUGAGCUACCAUCGAGGAGGUGAAACUCAUCCUCUUUAGUAGUGGAUGCAUCAAACUUGUCAGUCCAUGCUCCUUUAAAAUAGAGGGCGUUGGCAAAAACAAGCCUAGUUGAGCUGUCAACUGAUCCAGAAGGAAGAAUCUCUUUGAUAAGGCCAUUGGUCUUCUUUUCAGCCCACGAGUUCACUGAAUUGGUCACUUCAGUAGCCUGUAUGCAGAUAUAUACACAUAGUUAAAAUAAACAGUACGACCUAUACACCACAGGAACAUGAAUACAAUGAUACAAACAUAGAGGACCAAAAACAGAGGAUCUUGGGGAGAAUCAACUAGAACCAAAUGCAAAUUAUUCAAAUAAUGACCUUAAGGAACUCUUUAAGCAUAAUUGUAUUUGACAAAGAAAGAUUCACAUAAGCAUAACUUGUACAUCGAACUAGUCAUUUUAUGUCCAUUAUUAUUGAUUCCUGAUUAUAGACGGUUAUUACUAUGUUAUUAAUAAAUAUUAAAAGCAGACAAGAGAUUGCAAAUAGAGUGCAUAUGUAGAGAAAGUAGCUACAUCACAGCACCAUCAUGUAAAGAAUAGGCCCUCCACAUUUAUCUAUGAAUAACGGAAAGUAAUUUGGGGUCCAUUUGUGGUGUCAUAUAACAAUAAUUUUAUUAUAAGACAAAUUAAAAAGUAACAAGUAACAACUAAAGGAUAACAUAAAUGGCUAGCAUACAACAUUACCCUACAAAGAUAACAAUCAAGAACAGACUCCAUAACAUUUUCCAUAAGAGCCCUAGAAAAUAAUUUCAUAAAAGAAUAAUCAAGUAGCUUUCGCGUCGUAAACUAAGUAGUACUAUAAUUGCAAAAGAAGAAAAGAACCACAGACACAAACUACAAAGAAGCAGGGACAAACACACAAAGGAUCAUAUUGGUUAGUUACAUACAGUAUAAGUUAAAUAAUCCUUAUUCACGGGGUCAAUUGAUUAACUUCUGUUUACUUAAGGGAGACGAUUAAUGUUAAGGUGCAAACAAUACAAAAACAAACAUUGGUACAUGAAUGUAGAAAUUGUUCAAUUUUUCAGUAAAAGAGUAAAAUUUAAGAACAUCUAAUUCCUUUGUACAGAAAUCUGUAUUCAGUGAUGCAACAUCUCAUAUUCAGAAGCAAUAAGGCCUAAGGCGGACGCAGUUCUGGAGGGUCUCCCACAUCACACAACUGCAGCCCGCAAUGCACGGAUUUGUUUUUGGGCUCUUCCCAAAAGAGCCCAUACUAAUGGAAUUGUUUGACUGCUUACGACGUGUGACUUGGUCGACAACCACUCAACAGUUAACUUUUGAUAUAAAAACCAAUUCUAUUACAAGUCAGCAUAUCAUAAUAAAUAUUUUUCGAGGGGUUGCCAUUAAUCUCAUCAGGUAAACAGCAUUAUCACUUCUUCACGCAUAUAGCAGUAUCAUUCCUACCUCAUAAUGCAUCUAAUUAAACCUUGGGUUUACUCCAUCAUUCUGACUAGUUAUAUUAUAUCCCUAAAUUGAAUAUCGAAAAACUGGAAAACAAAACAUGAUCAUUAGGCGUGAUAGGCUGAUGUUUAAUAAUUUUUCCCGAGCAAUUGUUAGCAUAUCUGAAGACUGAAGUCUGUUUAUCCCUCAUAGGAGUCAGAAUAAUCAGCCAAUCAUGUAAUUUCUAUUUCCACAAAGCAACCUCUCUUCAAUUACAACUUUUUCACGCAUUUCUCAAAUGUACUAAUUGAAAAUUAAGAAGUAUCCGAGAUGUGGGCAAAAGCAUCCUAGUGCUAUAAGAGUUCAAGAAUCAGAUCUCCCCCAGUCCCCCUCCCAUCUAUACUCGAAACAAGAUACAGCAACUACCAAAAAUUAGUAAUAUCAGCAUCAUCCAAUUCAUACAAAUCUAAAUAUCUAACACCAUCAAAACCAACACAAACAAGCAACAUAAAUAAACAUGAUUGCAAACACAAAUAAAAUCGAAAAAUUAGUAUUAAAAAAAAAACCCAACCAACCUUGGUCUGAAAAUCAACAUGAAGAGAAGCAGCCUUAUACACCCCUUCCACCACCUGUUUAAACAAGGGCUUAAGAGCAAGAGACUCAUCAAUCCAGACCCCAUUAGCAAAACUCACACAAGGCCCACCAGACCCAGACCCAUCAGCAAACACAAGAUCAACCAACUGCCCAGACAAAGAAUUAAGAUCAUCACUUGACCCAGCUUUAAGAAAAGACAGAAGCUGCUUUUGGGUCUGUGCAGAUGAUCCAGCUGUGAUCAGACCAAGAACUACAUGAACAGAAAGAGGGGAGAAGACAGUGUUUGAGUGGCUGUUAUUGUUGUUUAGUAGUAUGUGUUUUGCAAGUGUGAGGGAGACAUCAGUUUGGUUCUUGAUUGAUUGUCUUAAGUCCAUUUUUUGGGGGAGUUUAGGGAAGAUUGGCAACUGGGGUUUCAAGAAAAUGGGUCACAAGUUUGUAUGUGUUGUGUGUGUUGCAGUUAAACAUAAAAUAAGACAGCGCCACGCGUUUGGAGACACGGUUGAGUUGUGCUAGACUUGGUUGCUAAGAUAUUAGAUUCGGCUUUGCACGUCUGAUUUGAUAAAUCUGACUUCCAGAUUGUGGUUGACCGUGAAAAUUAACUUAAUUUACAGAGGAUUCCACCUCUCAUUUUAAUUUUCUACAUGAUUGUAUAUUGAGAUAAAAAAAAGUUUAUUGUACUUUGUAACCCCAUAUUUUGGCUGAUUAGCAAAUCAGAUCCUACAUUUUGAAAUGUGACAUUUUGUAACUCUAAGUUUUAUUUAGCUUUCGGUUUAUAACCCUAGCCCACGCAUCCGUUAAAAACAGCCGUUAACUUUAACUGUUUGAGAGGUAACUGUUUUUAACGGAUGUGUGAGCCAGAGUUACAAACUGAAAGCUAAAUGAAACUUAGGGUUACAAACUGUCAUGUUUCAAAGUGUGGGGUCUGAUUUGCUAAUCAGCCAAAGUGUGGGGCUACAAAGUGCAAUAAGCUCUAAAAAAAACUAUGAUUGUGCUUAUGAUUUAUCAAAGUGUACGUGUAUUUAUCAAUCAGACUCUCUCUAAAUUAAGUGUUCUUCUUUUUUGUGGUUAAAUUAUUUAAGUUUAGAUUUAAUUUUAUAAUAUUUGUUUUUAUUUGUAAAAUCAUUAUUUUUUAUUUUAUUUUUGUUAAAUAUGUUUUACUAUUUUUUUACAAAAUAAAUUCUUUUCUGUGAUAUUUAUAAUUCAGAGGAGAACUAAAUAAAAUAUAUAUUAUUUUUUCGAGGUUAGGGCUCUAAUAUCCAGACCCCUGUGGUUAGGGCUGUAAAUCGAUACGGACUAUCCGGUGUCUCGGCUCAUAUCCGGCUCGAAAAUAUGAUACAUGUCUCAUAUUCGUUUUGAAAACGAUCCAAAUCUGGCGGAAAAAUUAAGCCCGUAUAAUAUAUGAUCCCGGAUACGAGCACACCUAUACCCGCUCAGAUUCGGGCUCAUAUAACUUUUCAUAAUAUGAUCCUACCCGAAUAACCGAAUAUGAUCCGCGGUUCAUAUUCGAUUCAAACUCAUAUACAUAUUAUAUUUUAACACCAUCAUAUUUGCAAGUAAAUAGUUAUCAUUUUAUAAAAUUUUAAUAUCUUAUUUAAGUUUAUAUCUUCAUAAAAUAUGAUUUAUUUAAUGUGAUCAUACUUAUUAUCUUCAUAUAUAUUUAAUAAAUGAUAUAUAUCAAUAUAUAACUAUAAGUUUUAAUUUAAAAUUAUUAUACUUUAUAAUAUUAUGUUUACUUAGACUAAUGAUAGUUAUUUGAACAAAUGAAAUAAUAAUGAUACUUAGUGUUAGUGGAUCAUAUCCGGCUCAUAUUCGAUGGAUCAUAAACUACCCGGUUAAAAAAUAGAAAAUACGAUACUGGAUCAUAUCCGGUUCAGAUCCGAAUCUCAAAUACCCGGGAUCGGUUUAGAUCCGAAUAAAACGAUCCCGGACCCAAAUCUGGACAAGCUAAAAAUAAUAUGAUCCGGUACUUGAGCAGAGGGGUACCCGGGAUCACCCGGAUCAUUUUACAGCCCUACCUGUGGUUCCCUUACUCGUACAUGAUAGUAUUUUCAUAUUUAUUAAUCUGCCAAUUUUACGGAGAAAAGCGUUACCCGGCCGGAGAACAUCAACGACAGAGACAGAGACAAGAGAAAACAAUGCUACUGAUAGAGGAGGAAUGUUUGCACUUUGCAAGGCCCAAGAGCUUAUUUAUGUGGGCCAUAUAGUUUAAAUUGCGAAAAAGAAGGGGUCAAAAUUUGCUCCACAAGAUCAUUCUUUGAAUCAAUUGAAUGUUUUAACAUAUUUUUACAAAGAAGUAACUAAUCAUAUGUACUUACAGUUUCAUAGUUGUCCUCGACGAUUUUUCAUAUGCUGAAACCGCUGGAUAAUUGAUUCAUUUAGCACACCAUCGAACACUGCUUUUUCAAUAUAUGUAACGAGACUAUCAUUCAGCAGCUGAUCUCCCAUCCGAUUCCUUAGCCUACUUUUCACAAUCUUCAUUGCAGAGAAUGCUCUUUCAACACUUGCAGUAGAAACUGGUAAUAUCAGUGCCAAUUUUAUAAGUAAGUAGAUCAAAGGAUAUACCAUGUCCUUCUUUGUUUGAACUAACUUUUCUGCAAGAACAGCGAUCCCAUUUAAAAUUAAAAAUUCAUUGUCAGACCGCAUAUCAAAAAUAUAAGUACCCAACUGGUUUCCCAACAUCAUAAGCUCUACUGAGGAGAAGUCGUUUGGAUAAAAUUGAGCCAGCCGAAUUAAUUUUUUCUUGUCAAAAGCAGCAAAUGCAUCAUUUGGACUCAAACAGGACAUACAAAGCAGUAGUUCCAUGUUAGAUUCAUUAAAACGAGUGUUGAGCUCUUGAAGUUGCAUAUCCAAAACACCAUAAAAGAAUUCCACCUUAUAAUAAUGUAUAUUUGUAACCUGGUGCACUUUACGUCGAGAACGUCCUUUCAUUUGAAAAUUAUCUUCCAUGUUUGGGCAAAUGAUAUUAAAUUUCUCACAGAACAUAGAAACUUCUGCUAAUAAAUCAUCCCAGCCAUCAUCCCUUAGCAUUUGUAUCCUUAACUUUGAUAAUUUCACUAAUUUCAUUGCAUUCACAAUAUCCUGGUCUUUUCUUUGCAACGAAAUCGAUAAUUCAUUUGUAAUGCCCAAAACAUUCUUCAUUAAGUGCAAACUAUAAACAAAAUCAAAAGAUUGUACAAACUCCAACAAAGCAGAGGCUUCAGCUCUUUGUUCAGAACUCGGGCCAUCAUCAACAAUAGUAUCAAGAACAUCAAUAACAGAUUCAAACAUAUUAAUAAGAGAUAGAAGUGUACCAUAAUGUGAGCCCCAUCGUGUAUCUCCGGCUCUUUUCAGAGUUGUUUCCUGAUUUAAUCCAUGUCCACUUGCAAGUUCUCCAAUUGCUAAUGCUUCAUAUAUAUGAAUAGCUUGACGAUCUCGAAGUAUAUCUCGACGCUUACAAGAAGCUCCAACAACAUUCACUAAAUUUGCAAUCAUGUUAAAGAGGCUCCCAACAUGAACAUUAUUUUUAGCAAUAGCAACUAAUGUGAGUUGGAGUUGGUGAGCAAAACAAUGGAUGUAAUGAGCUGAUUCAUUUUCUCUCAUAAUUAAACUUUUUAAGCCAUUAAACUCCCCCCUCAUGUUACUCGCCCCAUCGUAGCCUUGUCCCCUUAUCCUGGAUAUACUCAAUCCAUGCUUGGCAAACAAUGAAUCAAUGCAUACUUUAAGUGACGCAGCAUUUGUAUUGGGAACAUGUGCAAUACCAAUAAAUCUCUCAAUUACAUGACCUCUUUUAUCAACAUACCUCAAGAUAACAAUCAUUUGUUCUUUCACUGAUAUAUCACGUGAUUCAUCAAUCAAAAUAGCAAACAAAUCAUCUCCUAAAUCAUGAAUAAUAUAAUUAAGAGUUUCUACCGCAGAAGCAUUGACAAUGUCAUGUUGAAUGUCUGGAGACGAUAUCUUAAGAUUGCCAGGAGCAUUUUUCCCAACAACUCCAUCAAUUUCCUUAUUAUGUGCAGCCAGAAAUUUUAAUAUUUCAAGAAAAUUUCCUUGAUUUAUUGAUCCAUUAGAUUCAUCAUGACCACGUAAAGCAAUACCUUGUCUUAAAAGAAAACGGAGACAAUCAACUGAAGCACCCAAACGAAUUCGAUAUUCAUUUUUAAUCUGCUCUGAAUGCCUAUUUAAUGUCACAUCUAUAUGCUGAUUUUGUUUCAUCAAAUCUUCACAUUUUCUCCGGGCUUGAUUAUGUCCACUGUUAGGACCUCCUACGUGCAAAUCUAAUCUCUCUUUUUUGUUCCAAGCAUCAAAACCCUCUUUAACAAAAGCAUCCCCACUUUGUUUAUUAUCAGACUUAAAAAGAUAACAAUACAGGCAAAACGCAGCUUCUUUUUCUACACUAUACUCCAACCACAAUUUAUAUUCAUUGAACCAAUUAAGAUUGAAACGUCGUAACAAAUUCUCAAUUUUACGUUUCUUAAAAUUAUGAGAUGGUUGACAUGCUCCUUUCUGUAAAUAAGCUCUUCUUACCUUAUCUUUGAGAUUGGGAUGAUAAUCUGAAAUUGGAAUUCGCAACCCGGGAUCUGCAGGAAGGUUGCCCAAUUCAACUUCUUGUUCUUCAACGGGAGCUCUGCUUCUUGUUACAAACUUAUCCAUUCUUGUUUUGUGCUUUAGUGGGUGGGUGAAUAUUGUAAAAUGGUAGGUGAAAAGUAGAGGGGAGUGGGUUUUGUUACUUUAGUCUUUACUGCUUUAUUUUUUGUUUAUACAGAGGGGUCAACCCAAUUUUUAAUAAGGGUUCAAAAUUUAUUAUAAUAAUAAUUAUAUACAUAAAAUUAAAAUUUUUAUGGGUUCAAGUGACCCCUAUAUCAUGGCCAUAGCUACGCCUCUGUCUAUGAGUUGGGGUGUACGCGGGUCGGGUUGGGCCGGUUUAAACUUUUUAUCGAUCCAACCCAUUAAAUUUGGUUUGCCAAUUUUCGAACCCAACCCAUUAAAAUAAUUUUUUAACCCAACCCAAUUUGUCGUAUAACGGGUUGGGUUGGGUUGGACUGGUUUGUACGGGUUACUAACUAUUAAAUUCUGAAAAUAAAAACUCUACGAUAUAAAAAAAAGAAACAAACAGAGUCAAAAAAAUGUUUAGAAUUUGGUGGAGGUAAAACAAUACAGAUUAAUAGCUGUGCAUGUGGAGGGAUUGUGGUCCCUCUUUGUAAUUCUUAUUUUUACAGCAUAGGAAAUUCUGAUAUUACUUGUAUUUUUCUGUACUGAUGUGACCAAAAUGUUUAUUAUGGUUGAUGAGAACACUAACUUCCAACUUAAUCUUUGUUCAUGUUACAUUAGAAUAAAAGUAGAAAAACAAAUGGUUAUAUAUUAUCAGAACAUGUAUAUCAUCAGGUACUAGUCACUCACUCAACUACUAAAUUGAUAAGUAUGAGCAUGCAAAAAACACAACAAAAACUAACCUUAUUAUAUAAAGUAUAUAUUAUAUAUUUUUAUUGAAAUACCCUCGGGUUGGGUUGGGUCGGCCCAGUAAAAUCUAAAACCAUACCCAACACAUUAAAGUCGGGUUGGAGCCGAUUCAACCCAAUUAAGUAACGGUUUAAAAUUUUCGGUUUGAUUCGACUGAAAAUAAGAUCGGUUUGGGUCAGGUUAAACGGUUUGGACAACCCGUGUACACUCCUAUCUAUGAGCAUGGGAUCGUCAGAUUAGUAACAAUCAAACCGAAUAUCUUAUUUUCCAGAUCAACAAAAUUUCAUUUUGAUUUCGAUCUAGUCCGAUAUCCAUUUCAAUUAGAUUAAAGAAUUGGAUUAUCGAAACUCGAAUUAGCUACGUUUAGUUAAAUUUUGUUUAUAAAUUAUUAAUUAAUUUAAUUAUGUUUUGAUCCAUUAUAAUUAUUUUUAAGAAUUAUAAAUUGAUUAUAGGCUCUUCAAAAACUAAAAUUUUAGAAUUUGACAAUUACAAACUUAUUUUUUAUAUUUAUUUUGAUUUAACAAAAAAAAUCGAAUCCCAUCAUAUUCACAUCAAUAUCAUUAAUUAUAAUAUUUCAUGCAUAUUAUAAUUAACCUGAAAGAGAUAUCAUAAAAUUUAGAAAAAUAUAUAUAUAUGGGUUAUGUUCAGAAGAGAACCAUCAGAGUGAUAACCAUAGAACCCUACCUAAAUAACCCUUAGCUAGGGUUCUGCAGCAGAACUUCACAUGCAAAAAAAUGUCAAUAUCUAUAUAUUAUAUUUAAAUUAUUUUUGAAUACACACAACAAUGAAAAAAUAUGAAAAAAAAACAUGUAUUUAGAUUUAAAUCCAGGGACAAUCAACCCAAAUCAUGACAUAGACACUUUGAUAAAUAGAACAUAAUUCAAAUCUCAAAAUUCAGAUGAUAAAUAUAUGAUAAACUUAAAACAAUAACAAUGCUUCUGAUGAAAAAAGUUGCAUACUCACACUAAAGGCUCAAGAAUCUGCGAAAAUCAUGUGUUCAAGUAGGAUUAAGCACCUGUCCAAUAAAUUGCACACUUCCGGUAUUGUUUUCUCUGAUGACGAACAAGAAUGGGUGGUCUGCGACAAAGUCAAUAUAAGCUAUUAGACAUAAUCGAACUUUAGAAACAGAUGCAGCAGCAGCUUCAGUGCCUUGUUCAUCAACUUCAAUGAAGGAUUUAUGAAAUAUGCGAGAAACACAGAGCUUUGGACCCACAGGAGAAUCCGCCAUCUCGGUAAGGCCAUCAUUCCUGGUAAAGGGCAAGACCAGGCCUAGUUCCUUUAAAACAUCAGAUGCUUCAAACUCAAAUGAGAACUUAAAUUUUGGAACGUGGAAGGCGCCAACUUCUACUUCCUGAUAUGGAAUAUGGCGCUCCAGGAAUCCAGGUACGGAACCAAAUUUCUCUACUAAUCUGGGCAACCCAUCUUUUGCAUCCGGAAGAAAGAUGUACAUUGAAAAUUGGCGUUUGUCACCUUGUUUAUAAGGAAGCCCCAACACUUUGAAACCGUUGAAAACCCUGAUCAAUUGCUUUUUCUUGUUGCUGGUCAUGAAGGGGACCUGAAUUGAGCUGCCAUCGAGGAGGUGGAACUCAUUGUCUUUUGUCCUGGAUGCAUCAAACUCGCAACUCCAUGCUCCUUUAAAAUAGAGGGCGUUGGCAAAAACAAGCUUAGUUGAGCUGUCAACUGAUCCUGAAGGAAGAAUCUCUUUGAUAAGGCCCUUAGUCUCCUUUUCGGCCCAGGAAUUCACUACAUUUCUUGCGUCUUCCUCCUGAAAAGAGCGGAAAAAUUAAAUCACAUCACCUACAUUCAUAUGACAAAUAUAAUGACGAACCACAUAUGACCUUAAAAAAUAGUAUGUAUUUAUCAUAAAUUGAAACAAGAGUAUGUUAUUAGCAAAAAAAACAAAGACAGGAAACAGAGGUAUGCAGAAUUUCGUAUAGAUUGUGUAGCUUAAUACAAUUCCAAACCAAGUAGAAUUCUGAAAUGCUGCAUAUAUAGUACUAAAGUAAAUCUAUCUUACUGCAGAAAAAUUUGUCCAAAAUGGGAAAAACUAAUUUUAUAGUUCUCUGAAAUUCUCAGUUCAACACAUUGUUCUCUUCAAUUGAAUUUUAGCGCAUAAUACCCAAAUAUUGAUUUCCCUGAUUCAAAAUGCCUGAAAUUCAUCACCACUGCCGCGUAUAAAUAACACUUUACAAAGGUUGUCCCGGGCCCGGGUUCGACUCAUCCGAAAAGUAUUAGAACAUUUGUAACGCAUAUAAGCCUGCAUUGUCAAAAAAAAAAAUACUCCCUCCGUCCCUUUUUACAUGUCCCUUUUGAAAUUUUUUUUUGUCCCAAAUUACUUGUCCACUUCUCUUUUCAAAGCAACUUUUUGUAUGUUUUUUCAAAAUGUAACAACUUCCAAUGUUUGACUAGCAUAUAUAUAUACACAACUCUAUCUAAUUCAUUACAUUUAUUAGGGAUAUGUAUGAAAACAAGAUAUCCACCUAACAUUUUCUUAAGAUGCGUUAUUUUUUCAAAAGGGACAAGUAAAAAGGGACGGAGGGAGUAUAUAAAAAAUACUGUAUGAAGUGGCCCUCACCUUGCUUUCAAAAUCAACCUGACGACAUGCGGCUUUGUACACAGUUUCAACAACCUCUUUGAAAGAAGGCUUGAGAGUGAGUGACUUCUGAAGCCAAACACCAUUGGCUAAGGACAAACAAGGACCACUGGAGGAGGAAUCUUUGGCGAAAACCCGAUCGACGAUACUUGAAUAAAGAUAGUUAAGCUCAUCUAUAGUUCUGGCUUUAAGAAAAGAGAGAAGUUGAUCAAGGGUUUGGCCACUCGAACCAGCUGCAACCAAGCCAAGAAUAACUUGUAUGGAAAUUGGAGAGAAGACAAGGUUUGAAUCUUUGCCAUAGUUUAAAAGAAUGUGCUUUGACAGGUUUAGUGAAACAUCAACUUGUUCUUGUUGAGCCAUUGACAAGUUAUAGAAUAAUAGAAAUGAUCAUCUCCCUUCUAUCCCUAUUUAUUUAGAAUAAAAUGAGCCAAAUCCAUAUAAAAAUACAAAAACGGUUACAAAAUGAGCUGGAUUUCACUACUUCUAAAAGGAUAGAGACUGAGCUGGAUCCCAAUACCGUCUAAAAAGAUACAUAGAAUGUACUGGAUUCCACUAUCUUUAGAAAUAGAUAGAGACGGGCGGAUAGAGACUAAGUUGGAUCCCACUACCUCCUAGAAAAAUAUAAAAAAUGUGUUGGAUUCCACUACCUCAAAAACAAAUAGAGACGAGUUGGAUCCCACUACCACCUAGAGUACAUAGAAUGUGUUGGAUUCCACUAUUUCAAAAAACGGAUAGGCAAUGAUCUUGAUGCAUUACUUUCAAGAAAGAGAUAAAAAAAAAUGAGUUUGAUUGAGGGAAGCAGGGGUGAGCAAAAAUUCUCCGAACCGACCGAAACCGGCCGAUCCAAUCCGUCCAAACCGAAUUUAACGGUUUAAUAAUGGUUUGGUUUGGUUAUGGUUUCAAAUUUUAAAUACCGAAUUAUUUCGGUUUGGUUUCGGUUUUUACCUCCAAACCGAUCGAUAAAUCCGAACCGAACCGAAUGUGUAGAUUUAAACAUUAAUAUACAUGUGCUAAUAAUGUAAUACUAAAAAUAAAUUUAUAAUCUACAAAAAAAUGUAAAAUCUUAAACAUAUAAAAGGUAUCCUAGUAAAGAUUUUCUUUAAAAAUAUUAUUUAUUCUAUUUUAUGAUAUUAAUUUUGAUGUAUGUAUUAUGAUUUUAUUCUUUUUAUAUAUAUUUUUAUAAAAUUAUACGAAUAACAUUUUUUUUAUUUUCUUCCGUCUCUUUUUAUUUAUCAAGCUAAUAUAUUGUUGUAUCCUCUUUAAAUAUGAUUAAAUAGAAAAUAUAAAUUGAAUUUUUCAUUCCUUAUUUUUCAAGUUAAAAUUUAAUUUUGUUGCUAACUUUGUUUUACAUUUAAAAAACGGUUUAAACCGAAACCAAACCGAGCUAAAACGGAUUGGUUUGGUUUGGAAUUUAAACAUAAUGGUUUGGUUUUGGAUUGAGAUUUUGAAAAACCGAUUAUUUCGGUUUGGUUUGGUUUAGACCCUCCAAACCGUCCAAACCUGCCGAUGCUCACUCCUAGAGGGAAGCAUACAAAAACAAAUUCCAAAUCCCACUAUUUUCAUAGGAAAACCGAUGAAGAAUGUGCAAACCUCAAAAAUGGAUACAAAAUGAGUUGGAUUCCUUUAUCUCUUUUUUUUUAUAGCUAUAUCAACUUAUUUUCUUUCAACGGAUAAGUCUAAUAACAAAUUUUGAAAGUUAAAACAUCAGUUUGAAAUUUUAGGGGUGAUCGAUAUUCAAGUAAUGUCAUUGGACAAUAGAGUUUAACCCUUAUCAGGUAGAUUCCCCGAUCUUGUGAAGGUAGAUGUUGAAUUAAAUAUUAAUAUGGAUUUUGCUAAUAAUAUCAAUAUGAGCCAGAUUCACAAAAAGAUACAAUAACGGUUAUAAUAUGAGUUGGACUUCACUACCUCUAAGAUGGAUAGAGACUUAGUCCCACUAUCUCUCCGAAAAAUAGUGAGAAUGUGUUGGAUUCCACUACCUCUAACAAUGUAUGGAGACCGAGCUGGAACCAUUACCUCCUAGAAUAAUAUACAAAAAUGAGCUGAGGGAAGCAUACAAAAAUAAAUACCAAAUCACACUAUGUCAUAGAAUAAUCAAUGAAGAAUGAUCUAAUCUAAAAAACGGAUAUAAAAUGAGUUUGAUUUUUUUACCUCCUUUUUUCGUUAGCUAUAUCUAUACUUAUUAUUUUUCUAACAAAUAAGUCUAUAAUAAUAAAUUUUGGGAUGACCGAGAGUUAAAACAUCAGUUUGAAAAUUUUAGGAGUGAACAAUAUUUAAGCAAUGUCAUUGGACGAUAGAGUAUUAACCAUAAUUAGAUUUCACAAUCUUAUAUAGGUAUAUGUCGAAUUAAAUAUUAAUAUGAAUUUGGCUAAAAAUAUCAUUAAGAACUUUUUAUUUAUUUGAAUCCUGAGACAUGGUAUGAAUUUUAUAAAAUCAUUUUGUAAAUUAAAUUGUUUUGUUUCGUAAAUUAAAUUGUUUGAGUUUUAAAAGUUAAAAUAAAUAGUUUUGUUGGCAACAUUUGGUGGGAUAAUAUUUAUAUAUCACAAAAUUUUAAUCAGUAUGAAUGUCUUAUUAUAGUAGUAUAAUAAUUAUUAUCAGCAAAAAAAUUAUAUAAUAACCAAACACUACAACAGAUUCAGCAUCACACAACGGUUUUUGCCCGUUGUCUGAGACCACGGAAAACCGUGGUCUAUCGAGACGCCGUCCGAUAUGCGUAUCAGACAACGGUGCGCACCGUUGUGUGAUAGUGCUGAACACGAUGGUUUACGUUAAAAAAAUUAUUGUGCAACACCCAGAACCAACAACCUUUUCUCUUAAACGUGGUGUUGUUAGAAACUCUUCAUUACAAUAGUUGUUUUCAAAAAUGAUGUUGUUAGAGAGGAUAUCCACAACAGUUUUUGGAUAUAUUUACUUGUUAAUAAGAGUAUCAGACAAGAUUGUUUGCGUUAUAGAGGCUUGUGUUUUAGUACCUUGCACAACUGGUUUAGAGUACUGGUCACUUGUGUAAAGCUCCUUAUAACAAUAGUUUAUAUAAUGAAACAAUUGUGUGAAAGCUCUUCUACAACGGUUUUUGUCCCGAAUGCUCGAAUAAUAUUGAUUUAGACAAUGGUUUGUUACUACUAUAUACUUAUUUGUAUAUGUCUUAGACAACGAUUUUAUUCUUAAAAUUGUGUUGUUUGUGGGGCCUGAGACAAUACUUUUUAUCACAGUAACCAUUGUAUAAUGUUGUUUAUAACAAUUGUCAUUUACAUGUCUCAUUAGUUAAAAAUAUCAUAGACAAUGGUUUUACCACAGUGACCAUUGUAUUAUGUAACUUGUAACAAUGGCCAUUUCAUUGUCCCAUUAGCUAAAAGUAAAACCAUGAAUCAAAUAAACUAGACUAGACAAUAUAAUUAACAAUGCCAAAAAUUGGUAAACAAAAGUUUUCAUUACCAUCAUAACAACCAACCAAGUACAAACAAAAUAUCAAUUACCAAUAUCCACCAACUAAAUAUCCACCAACUAAUUAUAUUUACCAACUAAUAUUCACCUUUCAACCAACAAUUCCAUCCAACAAACAUACGGAUUUAUACCCUGCUUCUAACUCAUCUUUAUACAUUGAUCGUGCCUUUUCCCAUGGUCGUUCAUUGAUUGACUCUUCCCAUAUUACACGAUCUCCCUUGCACUGUUCGCAAGUAUUCAUUCCCUGUAAUUGAUAAACACUUACAAUUAAAGCUCUUAAUAAGAUACAUAACGGAAAAUAGAUAGCUUUCUAUAUAUUUAUAUCGACAAUCAAUAUGGACUAUGAACUUUAUACCUAACAGAAAUACAGAACUUGUAACACGGAUUCUCCAACAGAAAUAGGCUAAAGGCAUUUAUGUAGCAUUAGGUCACUAAAAAAUAUUUGAAGUACUAUAAUAUCUUUGCAUUUUAUAUUUUGCACUAUUUAUAUGCAGAAAAACAAUACUGUCUAUAGUCAAGACCGUGUAUUCCAUUUUCAUAUCAAAUAAGAUACAUAAAUAAGAACAGGGCAAAAAUACAUGUAGAAAUAGAAGCUAGAAAAUAAAAUUGAAGAAUGCACAUAUCUCUUGGUCUCUCUACCAAGUUUAGUACUGGUCAACAUGUAUAUUAAAGCAAUUCAUAACUAGUAAACGAUUCAAUAUUUACCUUGCCAUCACACUGGGAACAAUCUUUUUUAGAUUUUUCUAUUCCGCAUUCUGUACAUAAGAGUGUAACCUGUUCCCCUGCAACUUGGGCAAGGCAGUUCCCUUAUAUACAAAACCACGACCUUGGCUUUAUAGUGACAGAAUCUGAAGUUUCCCUGAGAUUGAAACAUGUGACAAAAGAAUGUCAAAUCACAGGUAGCAUAAUAUUUUAGAUUAAUACAAUCAUACCCGACACAAAUCACGACCCCUGUAAGUAGAAUGUCAAUAUUGGGAUGCAUAGCCAAGCAAUAAACUCCACUUAGGUGAUCAUGGUAAGACCUGAUAACCUUUAGAAGGUGGAGAAAUAUCAAUAAUUAAGUUUAUUAGAAACACUAGCAUAGCCAUAGUCCAUAAAAAAGGUUUUUAUAAAACCUUAUUUUAUUCAAGAUCCCAGCAUUUAACUUAUUUGUCAUCACCCGCAAAGAACAUAUAGGUACGUCUCUUACUAACAACAAGGCCUACAAGAAAGAGACAUUAAAACUUUAACAACAGGUUAAUAGUAUAAGUGUGGAAGGAGUGAACUGGCAGGAACUAAACUCAGCAAAAUUCUGCUUCAACUCAGCCUUUCAAAACCACAGUAAACAUAAACCCAAAUGAGCAAACACUUCAAAUACCACAUUUUAUUGGUCAAACUAUAACACACUUCUCAACUUUGAUUCCAGACGUAAAAUUGUCAAGGUUAUAAAUUGCCAAAGAGAAGAAGACUUAACAAGUCAUAGUUAUUUCGACAAAAAAAAAUUAGCAGAAAACCAUAUCCCCAAACAUUACUAAUUCAUCUUUUACCAUUUCAGACUUGUCCUGCAUCCUGCACAUAUAAAAAAACUAAAACAUGGCAUGGGUUCAAAUUACACAUUACACACAAAAAUAGAGUAUUGCAUUUUCACACAGAAAUAAAAAAACAAACCAAAGCAAAUCAAACCACAUAAACAUAAAAACAAAUAAUACAUAAUACAAAUGUAAUAAACCCAAAAACACAGAAAUCCUAAAUUCAUAAAUACCUUAAAACAAGUCUCGAAGUGCUAACCUAGAUGAAGAACACCUGAAAUCAAAGAGAGAUAGGGAGGUUAGAUGAAGUUUAAGGGAUUAUAUGUAAGUACUUGAACUUUAAUUGAAGUUUAAUGAAGAAUCAAAGCAUGAUUGAAGCAGCCACGCCCUAAUUGAAGAAUCGAAGCCUCGACCCUCAGUUCGAUUGUCCCGAAUUAGAAAUAUAAAUCCAUGGAAAGUGGUGGCGUAACUGAGAAAAUAGUGGCCAGAGAGACAUUAAUGAGAGAGAUUAGCCCUAGAUUAGCGAGAGAGGGUAUUUCGAGAGAGAGUGAGCGGGGGUAUUGAGAGAGAGAUUGAGGCUGUGAGUUUGAGUAAAAAUUUCAAAGUUGUUUGAAAAUUUGGGCGGCCUGUAUGUCUGAAAUUUACCCGCUUGAGUCCAAUAUUUGCCCAUUUGAUAGAGUCCAAAUAUUCUCAUAUAUUUAUAUCUUAAUGAAUAAAAUUUAAAUAUUUAUUAUAUAAAAAUUUAAUUACUUAUAUGUAUUUUAUAAUAUUUAUAAGUUCGUAUAUUGACAUUUUUAAAUUUUCUUUUUUUAUUUUAUUACCUAUUAUAUAUUGGUUUUUCAUAUCAAAACAAAGGGAAAUAAUAUUUUUUUGUUUUUCACUUAAUAAAAAAAUUGUUUUUAUUUUAAAAUUUUUAUUACUCUAAAAAUUCAUAUUUUACUUUUUAUAAAAUUUAUUAUGGACAAACUCUGUAUAUCAUCAUUAUCUUAUUUAUUUCAUUUGUAUAUCACUUUCAAUUCUUGUAAAACUAAUUUAAAUUAAUAUUUUAUUUAAAAAAAAUUAUAUUAAUAUUUUAAUAUUCUAAGCUAACGCUUUUACAACUAGGUCAUAAGUAGCAUAACUAAGCUUCGGGGAAAAAAAGAAGUAGCAUAACUAAACUAACUAAGCUAACAUAUUAGCUAACAUUUAUGGUGGGGAAGGGACCGUUGUAUAUUUAUAUUAUGCAUAUAUAAUAUAUUUUUGUACUUUUUGUCUUAAUAAAUAUAUUUAUAUUAUGCAUAUAUGCAAAUAUGUAUUGUUGAUUUGUAAUACCAAGACAAUUUUGUAGUUCAGAUAUGAGUAUUAGUAUGUGUUUUAUGUUUACAAUUUAGAAAAUACUAGAUAGAAUCAUUGUUAUGUAUAAGAUUAGCUCUAUAUAUAUUUAUAAAUAUUUUUUUCGAUCAUCUAACCGUACGGAUGUCGAGAACUAACAAUAUUAGUCAUGUAUAAAAAAAUCAAUUUUUUUAAUGUUUAUUUUGUAUGUUUGUUUAACAAUACUAGUUAAACGUAAAUUUUGUCUUAUUAUAUAAAGGUAAAUUUUGUCCUUUAGUAUCUACAGACAACGGUUUUCAUACGCACUUAUGUUGUAUCAUUGAAAAUGACACAACCAUUACGAAAUGUAUACCGUUGUAAGAUAAUCUAUUGUCUAAAUUAGGCUCAAACAACGCUUCAGGCAAAAUCCGUUGUAUAAAAGUAAUGUAGACAACGGUUUAUGAGAAGAAAACCGUUGUAUAAUAACUUUUCAUUUUAUGAAUUAAAAAUUCGCAUUUCCUUGAUCAAUCCUUAUUUUUGUACUAUUUUUCUUAAUAAAUAUAUUUAUAUUAUGCAUAUAUGCAAAUAUGUAUUGUUGAUUUGUAAUACGAAGACAAUUUUGUAGUUCGGAUGUGAGUAUUAGUAUGUGUUUUAUGUCUACAAUUUAGAAAGUACUGGAUAGAAUCUUCGUUAUGUAUAAGAUUAGCUAUAUAUUAAUUUAUAAAUAUUUUUUUCGAUCAUCUAACCGUACGGAUGUCGAGAACUAACAAUAUUAGUCAUGUAUAAAAAAAAUAAAAUUUUUUAUGUUUAUUUUGUAUGUUUUUUUAACAAGACUAGUUAAACGUAAAUUUUGUCUUAUUAUAUAAAGGUAAAUUUUGUCUUGUAAUGUCUAAUAGACAACGGUUUUUAUACGCACUUAUGUUGUAUCAUUGAAAAUGACACAACCGUUAUGAAAGGUAUACCGUUGUAAGAUAAUCCAUUGCCUAAAUUAGGCUCAAACAACGCUUCAGGGAAAUUCCGUUGUAUAAAAGUAAUGUAGACAACGGUUUAUGAGAAGAAAACCGUUGUAUAAUAACUUUUCAUUUUUAUGAGUUAAAAAUUCGCAUUUCCUUGAUCAAUUCUUGUUUCUAUACUAUUUUUCUUAUGAAAUAUAUUUAUAUUAUGCAUAUAUGAAAAAUAUGUAUUGUUGAUUUGUAAUACCAAGACAAUCUUGUAGUUCGGAUGUGAGUAUUAGUAUGUGUUUUAUGUCUACAAUUCAGAAAGUACUGGAUGGAAUCAUUAUUAUGUAUAAGAUUAGCUCUAUAUUAAUUUAUAAACAUUUUUUUCCAUCAUCUAACCUUACCGAUGUCGAGAACUAACAAUAGUAGUCAUGUAUAAAAAAAAUCAAUUUUUUUAAUUUUAUUUUGUAUGUUUUUUUAACAAUCCUGGUCAAAUGUAAAUUUUGUCUUAUUAUAAAAAGGUAUUUUUUGUCCUAUAGUGUCUAACAAACAAUGGUUUUAUUAGUUAGUAAAGGCUUGUCUAUAAGGCCAUCAUACAAUGCUAACAAAAACACUUGUAUGUUAGCUUCCCAGUCACACAACACUAUUUGAAACCUUUGUUUGAACUGCUCGUAAACAACACAACAAAUAAAACACUUGUCUAAUUACAACAACGGUUUCUUGAACUAUUGUCUCAAGUUUCUUCCCACAUCGGCUCUCAAAACAGUUGUCUAACAUGCAUCAUUACACAAUACUACAGUUAAGAAACCGUUGUCUGCUUGAAUUUAAGAGACAACAGUUUUUUUAACCGUUGUAGGUCGUAGGUGUUAGACAAUAGUUUUUCGAAGACGAAAAGAAAGUGUUGUGUCUUUUUUCCAAACAACGCUUUUUUCACCGUGCGUUGUCUGAUCAGUGUUGUCUAAUGGUGUUUUUGUUGUAGUGAAAUUAGAGUUGCUUCUUAGACUAAAUUGUUUGAGUUCUAAAAAUUAAAGCGUAGGUGGGAUAAUGGUUAUGUAUUACUAAAUCCUGAUCAAUAUGAAAGUCUUUUCUUUGUAGUGUAAUAAUAAUAAUAAUAAGAAAAUCAUAUUUUGAUAACCAAAUUUUGGUAUUUUGGUAUCAAUAUGUACUCCUUAUAUAUUUGAAUUUUGAAAAUUAUUGAAAAUUUAUAGAGUUGUUUCAAAAAUUAAAUUAUUUAAGUUUAAAAUUUAAAAGAAAUAGUUCUAACAUGCGGAUACAGCAGAAGGGACUAGGGAGCCAGGAGAAAACUAAGCCCUUGAAAAGGGGUUAACUCCAGGCUAUACAAAGAGACUAAACCAGGACAACAAAAGCUUGACACAAACAUUAUAAUACUUAUAGGAAAGCAGGCCAACUGAGAGUACUACUAUAGACUCCUGCAGCAGCUAACCAUGCAUGCACCAGUUAAUCUAGAUCGCUGAAAGGAGGUUCACGAGCAAGAAGAGACUAGCAAGCAGUUCAAGUAAUUGAGGGAUUUAGCACUUGUCCAAUAAACUGCACAAUUCCAGAAUUAUUCUCUCUGAUGACGAACAAGAAUGGGUGAUCUGCAACGAAGUCAACCUUAAAUAAACAACAUAACUGAAAAACAGGACCAGUUGCAACAGCAGCUUCGGUGCCUCUUUCAUCAACUUCAAUGAAGGAUUUCUGGAAUAUCUUUGAGACAUGGAGAGGCCUAGGAUCAUACACCAUCUCGGUGCAACCAUCUUGUGGCUUAAAGGGCAAGACCAGCCCAAGACUCUGUAAAGCAUCUGAUGCUUCAAUUGCAUAUUCAAAUUUAAAUUUUGGAAUCCAGAAGUUCCCACCAUUGGCUGCCAUCCAUGGAAUAUAUUUGUCGAGGAAUCCAGAUUCUGACCCAACUUUCUCUAUCAGUGCUGGCAGCCCAUCAUUCGCAUCUGGGAGAUAUAUGUACAUGGAAAAGGAAUGCUUGUCCGAGCUUUGGAUCCCACCAUUACCAUAAGGAAGCUUCAACACUUUGAAUCCAUCAAAUCUACUGAUAUAUCGCUCCUCAUUCCUGGACAUAAAAGGAACCUGAACCCUGUCACCGUUAAGGAGGUGAAAAUCAAAGUGUUUUGUUUUGGAUGCAUCAAACUCGCAACUCCAUGCUCCUUUGAAGUAGAGGGUGUUGGCAAAAACAAGCCUAGUUAAGCUAUCAAAUGAUCCAGCAGGAAAUAGCUCUUUGAUAAGGCCCUUGGUCUCCUUUUCAGCCCAGGAAUUCACUACAUUUCUCGCCUCUUCCUCCUGGAAAAAGAGCGGAACAAUUAAACCAUAUAUGACCUUGAAAAAUAGUACUAUGUAUUUAUCAUAAAUUGAAAAAAGAGUAUGUUAUUAGCAAAAAAACAAAAACAGGAAACAGAGGUAUGCAGAAUUUCGUAAUGAUUGUGUAGCUUAAUACAAUUCCAAACCAAGUAUAAUUCUGAAAUGCAGCAUAUAUACUGCAGAGAUAAAGUUAAUCUAUCUUUACUAAGUGCCCUGACCUUGCUUUGAAAAUCAACCUGACCACAUGCCGCUUUGUACACAGUUUCAACAACCUCUUUGAAAGAAGGCUUGAGAGUGAGUGACUUCUGAAGCCAAACACCAUUGGCUAAGGACAAACAAGGACCACUGGAGGAGGAAUCUUUGGCGAAAACCCGAUCGACGAUACUUGAAUAAAGAUAGUUAAGCUCAUCUAUAGUUCUGGCUUUAAGAAAAGAGAGAAGUUGAUCAAGGGUUUGGCCGCUCGAACCAGCUGCAACCAAGCCAAGAAUAACUUGUAUGGAAAUUGGAGAGAAGACGAGGUUUGAAUCUUUGCCAUAGUUUAAAAGAAUGUGCUUUGACAGGGUCAGUGAAACAUCAACUUGUUCUUGUUGAGCCAUUGACAUGUCAUAGAAUAAUAGAAAUGAUCAUCUCCUUUCUAUCCUUAUUUAUUUAGAAUAAAAUGAGCCAGAUCCAUAUAAGAAUACAAAAACGGUUAUAAGAUGAGCUAGAUUUCACUACUUCUAAAAAGAUAGAGACCGAGCUGGAUCCCACUACGGUCUAGAAAGAUACAUAGAAUGUGCUGGAUUUCACUGCUUCUAAACGGAUAUAAGAUGAUCAGCUGGAUUUCACUGCCUCUAAACGGAUAGAGACUGAGCUGGAUCUCACUACCUCCCGCAAAAAUACAGAGAAUGGGCUGAUUCCACUAACGAUAGAGAUUGAGUUGGAUCCCACUACCUCUAAAAAACAUACAAAGAAUGUGCUCCUCUAAAACAGAUAGAGACUGAGUUGGAUCCCACUACCUCUCAGAAAAAUACAAAGAACGUGCUCCUCUAAAAUAGAUAGAGACUGAGUUGGAUCCCACUUCAGAAUGUGCUAGAUUCCACUAUCUCCAAAAACAGAUAGAGAUUGAUCUGGAUUUGUUACAUCCUAGAAAAAGAUAGAAAAUGAGCUCGAUUGGGUGAAGUAUACAAUACCAAAUCCCACUAUUUCAUUUCAUAGAAAAACCGAUCGAUGGAUACAAUUGGAUUUCUUUACUUUUUUCAUAUCUACUUAUUAUUCCUAUAACAAAUAAGUCUAUAAUAACAAAUUUGGGAUGAGCGAGAGUUAAAAAUUAGUUUGAAAAUUUUAGAGGUGAACGAUAUUCAAGCAAUGUCAUUAGACAAUAGAGUAUUAACUCUUAUUAGUUAGAUUUCGCAUUAACUCUUAUUAGUUAGAUUUCGCAAUCUUAUGAGGUAGAUGUUGAAUUAAAUAUUAAUAUGAAAUUGGCCAAUAAUAUCAAUAUGUGCGGGAUCCACAUAAGAAUACAAAAUGAUUAGAAUAUGGUUAUAAUAUGAGUUGAAUUUCACAACCUCUAAAACCGAUAAAGAAUGAGAUGGAUCCCACCACUUUUCAGGAAAAUACGGAGAAUGUGCUGGAUCUCACGAUUUUUGAAAACGGAUAAAGACUAAGUUGGACCCAUUACCUCCCAUGAAAAGAUAAAAAAUGAUAUGGAUGGAAGGAAGCAUACAAAGACAAAUACAUAAUCCCACUAUUUCAUAGGAAAAUCAAUAAAAAAUGAGCUAAUCUAAAAAACGCAUACAAAAUAAGUUGGAUUUCUUUACCUCUUUUUCAUUUUAGCUAUAUUUACUUAUUACUUUUUUUAACAAAUAAGUUUGUAAAAUAAAUUUUGGGAUGCGGGCAGUUUGAAAAUUUUAGGGGUGAACGAUACAAUGUGAUUGGACUAUAGAUUACUAACCUUUAUCGGUUAAAUUUCGCAAUCUUGUGAAGGUAGAUGUUGAAUUAAAUAUUAAUAGAAAUUUGACUAAUAAUAUUAAUAUGAAUUUUUUAUUUAUUUGAAUCCUGAAACAUGGUAGGUAUCUUAUAGAAUUGCUUCAUAAAUUAAAAUAUUUUGCUUCGUAAAUUAAAUUAUUUGAGAUUUAAAAGUUAAAAUGAGUAAUUUUAUUGGCAAUAUAAUUUUGUUGGUGGGAUAAGAAUGUCUUUUCAUAGCAGUGUAAUAGUUAUUAUUAACAAAAAAGAUAUAUAAUGAUAAUAUAAUUAAAGUCGUUUCUUGUAUUAGACUGUUUGAAUUUUAAAAAUUAAACCGAAUAGUUUUAUUGGCAAUGUAAUAGUACUGUUGGUAAGAUAAUCAUUUACAUUAACAAAUCCUGAUCUACAUGAGAGUCUUUUCUUAGUAAUAUAAUAAUAAUUAUAAAAAAAAUUAUAUGUUGAUAAACAAAUUUUGGUAUCAAUGUGGACUACUUAUUUAUUGCAAUUCUGAAAUAUAAUAGAAAAUUUAUAGAGCUGUUUUAAAAUUAAAUUAUAUGUGUUUUGAAAUUUAAAAGAAAUAAUUUUGUUAAAAAUGUAUUAAUUAUGUUGGUGGAGAGCCGGGACGUCGUGACUCGUGAUCAUGAAAAAGUCUUGUCAUAAUAGUAUUAUAAUUUUUAUUAAAUAAAAAAUUAUAUGAAGAUAAACGAAUUAGAGUUUUUUUAUAAAUUAAAUUAAUUGAUUUUCAAAAAUUAAAACGAAUAUUAUUAUCUGUAAUAAUAAAUUUAUUAGCUAAUUUCAACAUAAUGUCGAAUUUAGCUAUUUUUGAUAUAAUUCAGCGCCAUCGAAAAUAAGGGCAUCAAAAUUAAUUAAUUAAUCGAAGUUAACCAAAUUGUAGAAAAUAGUUAAAUAAUAGUGUUGAAAAUAGAUAUAUAAUAGCUUCGAAAAUAACCAAUUAGUCACAAGAAUAACCAUAUGCAAGACACAGUAAAUGGAAUAUCGAAAAGGAGUUGAGUUUCUAGGGCAACAGUACAUGUACAACAAUACAGGAUGCAAUCUUUAAAGUACAGCAGUACAAGAUAUACAUAUAUAUCUAGAAACAACAAGCUGAUCUUUUUCUUUAGAAAAAACAACAAACUAGCUAGAGAAUUAUCAUAAUGCUGUGUGCACAGCAGGUCAGAUGGCUAGAGGAUUAAGAACUUGUCCAACAAACAGCACAACUCCAGUACUGUCUUCUCGGAUGAUAAAGAGAAAAGGGUGGUCCGCAACAAAGUCAAUGGAAAGAGGAGGAACUUCGGGUGGAGGCAUUGCAAUACUGGUACAAGGGGAAGCUUCUGUGCCUUCUUCAUCAAUCUGAAUGGAUGAUUUCUGAAGUAUGUUUGAAACAUAUAGCAGCUCAUUCCUCUCAGAGUCCAUCAUAGUAUUGAGUCCACCCGGAAUAAAAGGUUCCCUCAAUCCAAAUUCCUUUAAAGCCUCAGUUGCAUCGAGUCCAAAUGACACUUUAAAUUUGGGAACCCGGUACUUGCCAUGUUCCUCAGAGAGGUCUGGAAUGUCCAGGUGCUCAAGGAAUCCUGUCCCAGUGGCAAGUUUAUCGACCAAUGGUGCUAGCGCAUCUUUAGCAUCUGGAAGAAGGAUGUACAUGGAUAUCUGGCAUGUAGCGUAGGGAAGUUUUAAAACCUUAAACCUGUCACAGACGUUAAUGAAUGCCUGCUGCAUGUAGUAGGACAUGAAGGAAACUUGAACCUUCUCAUCAUUCAGCAGGUGGAAGUCAAAAGUGUCUGUCAUCCAGUCACUGAAAGGAACAGCCCAUGAUCCUUUGAAAUAGAUUGCAUUGGCAAACACAAUCUUACUUUGCUCGUCGAAUUGAUCAGGAGGAACAGUGUUCUUAACAAGGCCAUUCGUUUUGUUCUGGAUCCAGGAGUUCACAUUAUUGGUCGCCUCGCUUGCCUGUGCACAAAGAACAGGUACGCAAUUACUAUGAUUUUAAUCAAAGAUGGUAACACAUUUACCUAAACAAGAUAUAGAUGUAUACACAUUAAAAGAGCAAAAGAAAACACAACCUAAUUAAGGAGUAACUUGCGAUAUAGUUGGCAAAGACAAAGAGAAAUCCAGCCUGAUUUCAUGAAUAUUUUUUCCUUUAAUAUAAGAGCUGAUAGCAUUUCAAUGACAGUAGAAUGGACGGACAAUAAAUUUUACCAAAGAUAAACUCCCAAAGAUAAUUACCAUUCAUGAGGAUUGACACGGCAAUCCAUCCAAAACUAUCCCCAUACUCAGUCACUUCUGUGAACUCUCCAAAACCUAACUUUCCAAAUCUAAUUUUCUCCUGAAUCCAAGACCCAAUUCAAGCAAAUAAAUCUAAUGGCCGCCAUCCUUAGAUCUAGCAAGCCUGGUACAUAUUAGUCAUAAGUUCUAUUUACAAAAGCAUCAGGAAAUGACCAAAUCAACUUCACAAUUGCGAAAUUUAUAAUAUAAUAUAGCAGAUCGAGAAGCAAUAAAAACAAUCAAAAACUCACCUGGUUCCGAAAAUCAACAACAUGAGGCACAGCCUUAUACACCGAAUCCGCCACCUCUCGAAAAAAGGCUUAAACGACACAGAUCUAUCAGUCCAGACCCCAUUGGCUAAUGACAAGCUAGCCGGCCCCUCAAAAACAUUCUGAACAACGUGAGAUGCAAGUGCAUUAAGCUCCUGCGUGCUGUCAACUUUGAGGAAGGACAAAAGCUGGUUUAAUGCGUGCCCUUCAGAACCAGCCGCAAUUAAACCAAGUACGAGUUGCACCGAAAUGGGAGAAAAUACAACGUUAGAAUUGCUGCCCUUUGGCAGGAUGUGUUUUGCGAGGGCCAGUACAACAUCUGUUUGGUUCCUGAUGAUCUUCUCUACAUCGUAAAUUGGUGUGAAUUUCAUUGGAUUACUUGAUUUUCUUUGCCUCUUCCUUAAAGACUGCUCCAUUGUUAUUAUCGAUGAGAAAUGUGACACCCUAACUCGAUCGGGAUAUUUGUAGAUAGUAGUGGACAGCACUCAGCAGUUAGUGCCAAAAAUCAAUGCAGUGUUGAGCUGAAUUAAGGGUUCAGAUUAUCCUAGCUAGCUAGUUGGCAACUUAAGAGCCCUUGGAUAAUCAUAUGCUAAAGAUUGUUGUAACGGGUAUGUCUGACGAAAUGGAUCUAGACUGCUGACCUACAAAAAUUUAAAAGUUAUUUAAAUCACACUAUUUCAUAGAAUAAUCGAUGAAGAAUGAUCUAAUCUCAAAAACGGAUAUAAAAUGAGUUGGAUUAUUUAUCUCUUUUUUUGUUUGCUAUAUCUACUUAUUAUUUUUCUAACAAAUAAGUCUAUAAUAAUAAAUUUUGGGAUGGCCGAGAGUUAAAACAUCAGUUUGAAAAUUUUAAGAGUGAACAAUAUUUAAGCAAUGUCAUUGGUUGAUAGAGUAUUAACCAUGUUAGUUAGAUUCCGCUAUCUUGUAUAGGUAUAUGUCGAAUUAAAUAUUUAUAUGAAAUUGGCUAAAAAUAUCAUUAUGGAUUUUUUAUUUAUUUGAAUCCUGAGACAUGUAGGCAUGUAAAUGGAUCGGAUAUCCGAUCCGACCCGACCCGAUCCGUGGUUAAAUAAAUGGAUAUGGAUCCUUAUUAAAAAAUCCGAUCUGCUAAUAAUCCGAUCCGAUAAUAAUCCGGUCCGAUAAAGAAUGGAUAUGAAUAUGGUCAAACCCGAUCUGUUAACGAUCCGAUCCGAUUCAUGCUUAACUAUAUUAUAUAUUUUAUAUUAUAUUGUAUUAUAAUAUAAUAUAUUAUUAUUAAUAUAUUACAUACAAAAUAAUAAUUUCUAAAGAUACAAGACAAAAUAAUAAUUUCUAAAGAUACAAGACAAAACCCUAAAUCAUAUUUUCUUAUAAUCGGUCAGCCGCUCUUAAUUCUUGACAUGGCUCUCACUCUUGUUAUCCGGUUAAUUUAAUAAUCACUCUUUUUUAUGUAGAGUGAGUAUAAAUACUGGAGCUAACUCUUUCACUUAAAACCUCCUCAAUCACCUGGUUCCGUAUUUAAGACAUAUUUAUCGAUUUUAUCUUUAUUAACAGAGGAGCAAAUCAUAAUUUGCUUCCUCCAAAAGUAUUAAGCAACUUAUUUAUUAUUUUUCUAUUUACUUGAUAAAUUCUGUGUGAAGUUUUUAUAGGAACAACCAACAAAUUUUUUAUUAAAUACUGUUUUAUUAGUUUUUUUUACCUAUUACGCUAAAAUUUAUGAAUUAAUAUAGCUAUAAAUAUCAUUUUUUUUUGUAUGGAAGUUAAAACAUUGUUCACGGUGAAAAAAUAUAUUUCAUAAUUUUUAGUAGAUCGGGGCUCCGAUCCGAUUAUCCAUGAUCCGAGUGGACCGGAUAUGGAUUGACUUGUAAAAUAUCCGACUCCUGAUCCGAUCCGAUCCGAAUCCGAUAAAUUUAAAUGGAUUAGGAUAUGAAUUUAGCUAGAUCCGAUCCAAAUCCGAUCCGUUUACAGGCCUAGAGACAUGGUAUGAAUUUUAUAAAAUAAUUUUGUAAAUUAAAUUGUUUUGUUUCGUAAAUUAAAUUGUUUGAGUUUUAAAAGUUAAAAUAAAUAGUUUUGUUGGCAACAUUUGGUAGGAUAAUAUUUAUAUAUCACAAAAUCUUAAUCAGUAUGAAUGACUUAUUACAGUAGUAUAAUAAUUAUUAUUAGUAAAAAAAUUAUAUAAUAACCAAAUUAGAGUUGCUUCUUAGACUAAAUUGUUUGAGUUAUUAUAUACUUAUAUAUAAUAAGGGUAAGGAAGAUAAUUUGGUCGUUGUAUGGUCCAAAGUUGGAUCGUAUAGUGAACAAAUAAGCACCUUUUAGAUCAGAACAAAAUUAACUUCUGUUCAAUAAAACAACUAAUAUCUAUUUACAUGUUUAUAAUUUCUUUUCUGAAUCCAAAAUAAAUUGUGUCUUCACGUGUAUAUGAUUUUUUUUAAUCUAAAAUAAAUAUUUCCUACCAGUUUUAUCUAUAGAAUCAUAUAAAUCGCACCGUCACAAUUUUUAUAUAAUAUAUUUUAAAAUUAAUAAGCCAAAUUUAUGUAAGAUCCGAAUACAAAAAAAAUUUCUUAAUCCAAAACAGAUUCUACCUUCUUUUUGCAUGUUUAUGAUUCUUUUUCUUAAUCCAAAACAAAUUAUGUUUAUCAAUUUUAAUCUAGAACUAUAUAAAUUUUUUUAAAAAAUAUUUAAAUCACAUUAUAAUAAUUUUAAUAUAAAAUACAUUUAUAAAUAUAAUCUAAUGGAAGUUGGCAUCACAUAUUAUACUCAAAAUAUAUUAAAAUUUGAUAGAAAAAAUUUAAUACUUUGGAUGGCAUGAUACAUAUGGGAAACGGAAUGGCUUGAUUACAACAGUUUAUUUGAAGCCAUUAAUGGCUGUGAUGGUGUACUUACAAUAGUUCUAACUUACAAACGAAUCAUAAUUUCAAAUUUUAUUUUAUUGAAAGUUAAAAAUUAUUAUUUAUAAAUUAAAUUUUUUCACAUCAUUUAAAUAUAUUUAAAAAGUUUAUAAAUAAUUAAAAAUUAAAGCGAAUAGUUUUGUUGACAAUAUAAUUCUGUAGGUGGGAUAAUUGUUAUGUAUUACAAAUUAAUCCUGAUCAAUAUAAAAGUCUUUUCUUUAUAGUAUAAUAAUAAUAAUUAUAAGAAAAUUAUAUGUUGACAACCAAAUUUUGAUAUUUUGGUAUCAAUAUGAACUCCUUAUUUAUUUGAAUUUUGAAAAUUAUUGAAAAUUUAUAGAGUUGAUUCAAAAAUUAAAUUAGUUAAGUUUAAAAUUUAAAAGAAAUAGUUCUAACAUUAGGAUACAGCAGAAGGGAGCCAGGAGAAAACUAAGCCCUUGAAAAGAGGUUAACUCCAGGCUAUACAAAGAGACUAAACCAGGACAACAAAAGCUAGACACAAACAUUAUAAUAAUACUUAUAGGAAAGCAGGCCAACUGAGAGUACUACUAUAGACUCCUGCAGCAGCUAACCAUGCAUGCACCAGUUAAUCUAGAUCGCUGAAAGGAGGUUCACGAGCAAGAAGAGACUAGCAAGCAGUUCAAGUACUAAUUGAGGGAUUUAGCACUUGUCCAAUAAACUGCACAAUUCCAGUAUUAUUCUCUCUGAUGACGAACAAGAAUGGGUGGUCUGCAACAAAGUCAACAACAUAAUAACAUAACCUCCUGAAACCAGAACCAGUUGCAACCGCAGCUUCGGUGCCUCUUUCAUCAACUUCAAUGAAGGAUUUCUGGAAUAUCUUUGAGACAUGGAGAGGCCUAGGAUCAUACACCAUCUCGGUGCAACCAACUCGUGGUUUAAAGGGCAAGACCAGCCCAAGACUCUGUAAAGCCGCUGACGCUUCAAUUGCAUAUUCAAAUUUAAAUUUUGGAAUCCAGAAGUUCCCACCAUUGGCUGCCAUCCAUGGAAUAUAUUUGUCGAGGAAUCCAGAUUCUGACCCAACUUUCUCUAUCAGUGCUGGCAGCCCAUCAUUCGCAUCUGGGAGAUAUAUGUACAUGGAAAAGGAAUGCUUGUCCGAACUUUGGAUCCCACCAUUACCAUAAGGAAGCUUCAACACUUUGAAUCCAUCGAAUUUACUGAUAUAUCGCUCCUCAUUCCUGGACAUAAAAGGAACCUGAACCCUGUCACCGUUAAGGAGGUGAAAAUCAAAGUGUUUUGUUUUGGAUGCAUCAAACUCGCAACUCCAUGCUCCUUUGAAGUAGAGGGUGUUGGCAAAAACAAGCCUAGUUAAGCUAUCAAAUGAUCCAGCAGGAAAUAGCUCUUUGAUAAGGCCCUUGGUCUCCUUUUCAGCCCAGGAAUUCACUACAUUUCUCGCCUCUUCCUCCUGGAAAAAGAGCGGAACAAUUAAACCAUAUAUGACCUUGAAAAAUAGUACUAUGUAUUUAUCAUAAAUUGAAAAAAGAGUAUGUUAUUAGCAAAAAAACAAAAACAGGAAACAGAGGUAUGCAGAAUUUCGUAAUGAUUGUGUAGCUUAAUACAAUUCCAAACCAAGUAUAAUUCUGAAAUGCAGCAUAUAUACUGCAGAGAUAAAGUUAAUCUAUCUUUACUAAGUGCCCUGACCUUGCUUUGAAAAUCAACCUGACCACAUGCCGCUUUGUACACAGUUUCAACAACCUCUUUGAAAGAAGGCUUGAGAGUGAGUGACUUCUGAAGCCAAACACCAUUGGCUAAGGACAAACAAGGACCACUGGAGGAGGAAUCUUUGGCGAAAACCCGAUCGACGAUACUUGAAUAAAGAUAGUUAAGCUCAUCUAUAGUUCUGGCUUUAAGAAAAGAGAGAAGUUGAUCAAGGGUUUGGCCGCUCGAACCAGCUGCAACCAAGCCAAGAAUAACUUGUAUGGAAAUUGGAGAGAAGACGAGGUUUGAAUCUUUGCCAUAGUUUAAAAGAAUGUGCUUUGACAGGGUCAGUGAAACAUCAACUUGUUCUUGUUGAGCCAUUGACAUGUCAUAGAAUAAUAGAAAUGAUCAUCUCCUUUCUAUCCUUAUUUAUUUAGAAUAAAAUGAGCCAGAUCCAUAUAAGAAUACAAAAACGGUUAUAAGAUGAGCUAGAUUUCACUACUUCUAAAAAGAUAGAGACCGAGCUGGAUCCCACUACGGUCUAGAAAGAUACAUAGAAUGUGCUGGAUUUCACUGCUUCUAAACGGAUAUAAGAUGAUCAGCUGGAUUUCACUGCCUCUAAACGGAUAGAGACUGAGCUGGAUCUCACUACCUCCCGCAAAAAUACAGAGAAUGGGCUGAUUCCACUAACGAUAGAGAUUGAGUUGGAUCCCACUACCUCUAAAAAACAUACAAAGAAUGUGCUCCUCUAAAACAGAUAGAGACUGAGUUGGAUCCCACUACCUCUCAGAAAAAUACAAAGAACGUGCUCCUCUAAAAUAGAUAGAGACUGAGUUGGAUCCCACUUCAGAAUGUGCUAGAUUCCACUAUCUCCAAAAACAGAUAGAGAUUGAUCUAGAUUUGUUACAUCCUAGAAAAAGAUAGAAAAUGAGCUCGAUUGGGUGAAGUAUACAAUACCAAAUCCCACUAUUUCAUUUCAUAGAAAAACCGAUCGAUGGAUACAAUUGGAUUUCUUUACUUUUUUCAUAUCUACUUAUUAUUUCUAUAACAAAUAAGUCUAUAAUAACAAAUUUGGGAUGAGCGAGAGUUAAAAAUUAGUUUGAAAAUUUUAGAGGUGAACGAUAUUCAAGCAAUGUCAUUAGACAAUAGAGUAUUAACUCUUAUUAGUUAGAUUUCGCAUUAACUCUUAUUAGUUAGAUUUCGCAAUCUUAUGAGGUAGAUGUUGAAUUAAAUAUUAAUAUGAAAUUGGCCAAUAAUAUCAAUAUGUGCGGGAUCCACAUAAGAAUACAAAAUGAUUAGAAUACGAUUAUAAUAUGAGUUGAAUUUCACAACCUCUAAAACCGAUAAAGAAUGAGAUGGAUCCCACCACCUUUCAGGAAAAUACGGAGAAUGUGCUGGAUCUCACGAUUUUUGAAAACGGAUAAAGACUAAGUUGGACCCAUUACCUCCCAUGAAAAGAUAAAAAAUGAUAUGGAUGGAAGGAAGCAUACAAAGACAAAUACAUAAUCCCACUAUUUCAUAGGAAAAUCAAUAAAAAAUGAGCUAAUCUAAAAAACGCAUACAAAAUAAGUUGGAUUUUUUUACCUCUUUUUCAUUUUAGCUAUAUUUACUUAUUACUUUUUUUAACAAAUAAGUUUGUAAAAUAAAUUUUGGGAUGCGGGCAGUUUGAAAAUUUUAGGGGUGAACGAUACAAUGUGAUUGGACUAUAGAUUACUAACCUUUAUCGGUUAAAUUUCGCAAUCUUGUGAAGGUAGAUGUUGAAUUAAAUAUUAAUAGAAAUUUGACUAAUAAUAUUAAUAUGAAUUUUUUAUUUAUUUGAAUCCUGAAACAUGGUAGGUAUCUUAUAGAAUUGCUUCAUAAAUUAAAAUAUUUUGCUUCGUAAAUUAAAUUAUCUGAGAUUUAAAAGUUAAAAUGAGUAAUUUUAUUGGCAAUAUAAUUUUGUUGGUGGGAUAAGAAUGUCUUUUCAUAGUAGUGUAAUAGUUAUUAUUAACAAAAAAUAUAUAGAAUGAUAAUAUAAUUAAAGUCGUUUCUUGUAUUAGAUUGUUUGAAUUUUAAAAAUUAAACCGAAUAGUUUUAUUAGCAAUGUAAUAGUACUGUUGGUGAGAUAAUCAUUUACAUUAACAAAUCCUGAUCUACAUGAGAGUCUUUUCUUAGUAAUAUAAUAAUAAUUAUAAAAAAAAUUAUAUGUUGAUAACCAAAUUUUGGUAUCAAUGUGGACUACUUAUUUAUUGCAAUUCUGAAAUUUAAUAGAAAAUUUAUAGAGCUGUUUUAAAAUUAAAUUAUAUGUGUUUUGAAAUUUAAAAGAAAUAAUUUUGUUAAAAAUGUAUUAAUUAUGUUGGUGGAGAGCCGGGACGUCGUGACUCGUGAUCAUGAAAAAGUCUUGUCAUAAUAGUAUUAUAAUUUUUAUUAAAUAAAAAAUUAUAUGAAGAUAAACGAAUUAGAGUUGUUUUAUAAAUUAAAUUAAUUGAUUUUCAAAAAUUAAAACGAAUAUUAUUAUCUGUAAUAAUAAAUUUAUUAGCUAAUUUCAACAUAAUGUCGAAUUUAGCUAUUUUUGAUAUAAUUCAGCGCCAUCGAAAAUAAGGGCAUCAAAAUUAAUUAAUUAAUCGAAGUUAACCAAAUUGUAGAAAAUAGUUAAAUAAGAGUGUUGAAAAUAGAUAUAUAAUAGCUUCGAAAAUAACCAAUUAGUCACAAGAAUAACCAUAUGCAAGACACAGUAAAUGGAAUAUCGAAAAGGAGUUGAGUUUCUAGGGCAACAGUACAACAAUACAGGAUGCAAUCUUUAAAGUACAGCAGUACAAGAUAUACAUAUAUAUCUAGAAACAACAAGCUGAUCUUUUUCUUUAGAAAAAACAACAAACUAGCUAGAGAAUUAUCAUAAUGCUGUGUGCACAGCAGGUCAGAUGGCUAGAGGAUUAAGAACUUGUCCAACAAACAGCACAACUCCAGUACUGUCUUCUCGGAUGAUAAAGAGAAAAGGGUGGUCCGCAACAAAGUCAAUGGAAAGAGGAGGAACUUCGGGUGGAGGCAUUGCAAUACUGGUACAAGGGGAAGCUUCUGUGCCUUCUUCAUCAAUCUGAAUGGAUGAUUUCUGAAGUAUGUUUGAAACAUAUAGCAGCUCAUUCCUCUCAGAGUCCAUCAUAGUAUUAAGUCCACCCGGAAUAAAAGGUUCCCUCAAUCCAAAUUCCUUCAAAGCCUCAGUUGCAUCGAAUCCAAAUGACACUUUAAAUUUGGGAACCCGGUAUUUGCCACGUACCUCAGAGAGGUCUGGAAUGUCCAGGUGCUCAAGGAAUCCUGUCCCAGUGGCAAGUUUAUCGACCAACGAUGGCAGGCCGUCUUUAGCAUCUGGAAGAAGGAUGUACAUGGAUAUCAGCUGGCAUGUAUGGUAGGGAAGUUUUAAAACCUUGAACCCAUCACAGACAUUAAUGAAUGCUUGCUUCAUGUAGUAGGACAUGAAGGAAACUUGAACCUUCUCGUCAUUCAGCAGGUGGAAGUCGAAAGUGUCUGUCAUCCAGUCACUGAAAGGAACAGCCCAUGAUGCUUUGAAAUAGAUUGCGUUAGCAAACACAAUCUUACUUUUCUCAUCGAAUUUAUGAGGAGGAACCGUGCCCUUAACAAGGCCAUUCGUUUCCCUCUCGAUCCACGAGUUCACAUUACUGGUCGCCUCGCUUGCCUGUGCACAAAGAAAGGUAAAGCAAUUACUUUCAUUUUAAUUAAAGAUGGUAACACAUUUACCUAAACAAGAUAUAGAUGUAUACACAUUAAAAGAACAAAAAAAAAUACAACCUAAUUAAGGAGUAACUUGCGAUAUAGUGGGCAAAGACAAAGAGAAAUCCAGCCUGAUUUCAUGAAUGUUUUUUCCCUUAAUAUAAGAGCGGAUAGCAUUUCAAUGACAGUAGAAUGGACGGACAAUAAAUUUUACCAAAGAUAACUUCCCAAAGAUAAUAAUCAUUCAUGAGGAUUAACAUGGCAAUCCAUUCAAAACCAUCCCCAUACUCAGUCACUUCUGUUAACUCUCCAAAACCUAACUUUCCAAAUCUAAUUUUCUCCUGAAUCCAGACUCAAACCCAUCUCUUUAAUGUGAACAAAACUCACAGUUGUCACAGGACUCGUCGCGCAAUCUUUCUUAUAUGACCUAGUAAUUUGUGCUGACUUGCCCGGAUUUUCUAAAACCCUAAUUUUCGAUCUGAAAAUUGUUGUCAGCUGAGGAUAGAGGAGAUAAUAUGAAAGAAAUACCUAGCCAAAUCAGCAAACCUGACACACCCUAGCAUUGAACUGGACAGGUUUUGAACUCUAGAUCAGAAAUACCUAGCUAGAUCAGCAAUCCUAACACCAUAGCAUUGAACUGGACAGAGGUUUUAAACUCUAGAUCAUGGAUUCUAGGAAGAGCAAGCUGCUUAAGAACAGGGACAGGAUCCUAGAAACAGAUCCUGCACAAUGAAAUAUUUGUUAGCAAGAGCUCUAGUUUGAUAAAAAAAAGUUGGAGGCUAAAGAAUAAUAUCAUUUGUUUCCCAAAAAAUUAUUCUUUGUUAGAACUUUAAAUACUCGUUGGAAGUAAAGAAAAUUUCACUAUAUAUUUUCCCCAAUACAUAUAGACUAUGUGCUCCCCAGUUCAGAAAAGAAAAGAGUGGAAAAAUAGUUAUUCUCUUUGAAAUUAGUUUUCUUUUUCUUUCCUCCUAAAAAUAAACUCAGGAACCAGUUCAAGAAACAACACCUUUCUCUUUCUAAUCUUUUCUUUCAAAUUAAAUAAGAUCAGUAACAUGAUAAUAAGUAGGGACGACAAUCGGUCGAUUGGUACGGUUCGGUCGAAUAUCCGUCGGUUCGGAAAAUUUUGUCAUCGAUAAGUUAUGAUACAUCUUGCAACCUAAGUUGGCGGACUGUUACAUUUUCAAUCCAAUUCAUGUUGAAUAUCCGUCGGUUCGGUCGAAUAUCCAUCGAUUGGAAUGAACAAUUCAUGUUGAACUGUUACAUUUUCAAUCCAAUUGAAGUUCAUCAGGUAAGACCACAUGUAUUUAGCCUGAAUUUGCACUACAAUAUAAGCUAUUAGAUCACAGAAUUGGCAUAGAUACAAUAGCAAUUACGAUAAUCCCUCAUUAUUGUCUCUAUACUAAACAUCAAAGACCCAAUUCAAGCAAAUAAAUCUAAUGGCCGCCAUCCUCAGAUCUAGCAAGUCUGAUACAUAUUAUUCAUAAGUUCUAUUUACAAAAACAUUUGGAAAUGACCAAAUCAACUUUACAAUUGCAGAAUUCAUGAUAUAAUAUAGCAGAUCAAGAAGCAACAAAAACAAUCAAAAACUGACCCGGUUCCGAAAAUCAACAACAUGAGACACAGCCUUGUACACCGAAUCCGCCACCUCUCGAAAAAAAGGCUUAAAUGACACAGAUCUAUCAGUCCAGACCCCAUUGGCUAAUGACAAGCUAGCCGGCCCCUCAAAAACAUUCUGAACAACGUGAGAUGCAAGUGCAUUAAGCUCCUGCGUGCUGUCAACUUUGAGGAAGGACAAAAGCUGGUAAUUUAAUGUGUGCCCUUCCGAACCAGCCGCAAUUAAAGCAAGUACAAGUUGCACCGAAAUGGGAGAAAAUACAACGUUAGAAUGGCUGCCCUUUCGCAGGAUGUGCUUUGCGAGGACCAGUGCAACAUCUGUUUGGUUCCUGAUGAUCUUCUCUACAUCGUAAAUUGGUGUGAAUUUUGUUGGAUUACUUGAUUUUCUUUGCCUCUUCCUAAAAGACUGCUCCAUUUUUGAAAGUCGAUGAGAAAUGUGGAACCGUAACUCGAUCGGGGGAUUUGUCGAUAGUACUGGACAGCACUCGGUAGUGAGUGCCAAAAAUCAAUGCAGUGUUGAGCUGAAUUAAGGGUUCAGAUUAUCCUAGUUGGCAACUUAACAGCCCUUGGAUAUUCAUAUGUUAGAGAUUGUUCUAACGGGGUCUGAGAUUAAAAGUUAUUUUACAGUAUAUUUUUUAUUUAUUUUCAAAGAUAUGAUUUGCUAAAAUUCCGAUAAAAACUUCUUUAAAGAAUUCUUUUUUGAAAAUUCAAUUGUUAACAUUUACCAUCCAAAAUUUAUUAAUUUCAGUUUUCUUUAAGAUUUCUUCUAAAUUUGAUUUCAUAUUGCAACCGUUGUAUUUCUUGUUGUACUUUUAAUUAACACAAAAUUAUAAUUAAACAAAAUAUAAGAAUGAAUUUCACCUCUAUAUAAUCUUAGAACUAUAUUUUAAUUUCUAGAAGUAGGAAACUAAAAUUUGAAAACAAAAACUUAAACCAGUACUUUUUACCGUACAUGCAUGAAAAUAUAUUUUUGAAAAUUGUAUUCGUGAUAAAACUCUAGAGAAUUAUACAUUAAAUUUAAAGUUUGCUUUUAACUCAAAAUUAAAUUCCACUUUUAAACAAAAUUUAGACUUAUUUCAUGUCAAAUAAAAUAAUUAUUUAAACAUAUACACACUACAUAAAAUUGAAAAUUCCACUUUUAACUCAAAAUAGUAUAUAGAUUUGAAUAAUUUAUUUUAGAGGUUUUUUCACAAAUAUAAAAAGAAAGGCCUUCUAAUAAAAUCUUCAUAAAAAUUUGUUUAAUAAAUGAUUAUACUCAUUUAAUCAAUAAACUUUUCUUCCCUUAACUUUUUCAACUUAUGAUGGAAGUCAUUAUCUGGAAAGAAAAUAAACUCACCUUCAAGCAUUAUAAAAUAAAUCGUAGAACUUUAAAUUUUUCUUAAAAAUUAUAUGUACAAUUUAUAUACACAUUCAAUAUAUAUUUAUAUAAGUCAUAAAAUAUAUUAUUAGAAUAAAUAAAUAUAAAAACAUUAAUAUAUACACAUUUAUCAAUAAAAGGAUUAUCUCGAAAAAUGUAUAUAUCUUCUUACUUUCCAAUAUAAUUUUAUAUUUAAGAGUAAAACAAAGAUCAAAAUUAUAUACACAAGCAAUAGUAGGCAUGGGUUCUGUGGAGACACACAUUCUUUGGAGUAUUGGAGACCCUAAUCCUGAUCUUCGGUUUUGUUAUAAUCUAGUGGCUAUCAUAAUUAACAUUUAUAAUUAAAAAAAAUUAUACAGCAGUAUGUGUGUACGAUGUGUAACCUCUUGUGUAACUGGUAAUCUUUAACUGUAGCGUCAAUUCAGGGAGCGAUUUCUCCGGUUAAUCAAAUCCAGCUAUAUGUUUAUCGAACUAAUGUCCCCUUAUUCUGUUGUUUCCUGUAGUUGUGAUUUUACAUACUUUCGAUUUAGAGUACCGUUAAUUCACUUCCAGGCUUUCAUCUUCCCUCUGAUUUUCAUCUUUCCUCUGAUGUUCAAAUGUUGUUCGAGAAAAGAAUUCAGGCAUAUGAGUUUAUGUCUUGUUCUUCAAUUCGAAGAUGUUAGUUUUUGUUUAGUUUCUUCCAAAUUUUGUUUCCCUUUUAGUCCAUUGUUCUCAUAAUCUCUAAUUACAAGUGAAAAGAUUUUGUUUAUUUCGAUUAUACUCUGAAUUUUCCAGUUAGAAGUAGAUUAUUCUUUUUUAUGGUGUUCAAUACUCUGCAUAUAGAAGAUAAGCUGUUGAGUUUUUAUUUUUUAUGUUGGGUACAUAUUUGGCUAAUUGUUUCUAUACUGAACUCUGCUUUAAACAUUAAGAAAUGUUGCAGGGCUAUCCUGGAAAAUAUGAUUGUUUUGCAAUUGGAUCAAGCAAUACUAGACAAUCUGCUUUUCAUCUCCAGUAGCGAUGGAUCAUAUAUAUGAUGUUAAUUUUAUAUUGAGGUUUACAAGAUCAUUUUUAGGGACUGGAUUUCGUCAUGUCCACCUGAUUCAAGUGCAAAAAGUAGCUAAUCUAAUGGAUUCGUAUGUAGGUGAGGUAUCCCCUGCUCCUUCUUUUAAACCAUCAAAAUUUUGCAGCCUGAUCAAAGUUAUACCUAAUUCAGCAAGGGAAUUUUGUGAUGGUAUCUACCAUGCCAAACUACACAGUACCCUUUUAACAAAAAAUCAUAUCAAACAUCAACAAUACCAGAUUUGGCCACCAAAAUUUUUUUCCAAGCAACUGCCAAACAACAAUUACAGCUAUGCAUAAUUUAUUUCAUCUGCCAUUGUAAUUUAAAUACCAAGGCACAACAACAAUUGACCAAUAUCACAGUUUAAAAUAAUCAUGUUGAACUUGGCAUGAAUUUCAAACUAAACAAACAUGAUAAGUAUUGGAGAGAAUCGUUCUUCUCUUCAAUACUUUUCUUUUGUAAUCUUCGGUUUUGAUUUAGAGGCGAUUAUUUAAGGGAACAGAGUACAUGUAACUGUCACUUGAAUUGCUAUUUAUGCGGGACUACACUUUGAUACACACACGCUUGUAUACGGGACCGUAUGCUUACUACUGUAUACGGUAGUUUUAAAUUUUAAAAAAAAAAAUCAAUCUGUCACCCAUCUCUGCCGUACAAUUUUGUUUAGAUUUGAUGGUUCUAAGGAGGGUCUCCAAGUACAGUACUCCAAAUAACAAAGACUCUAAAGAGCCCAACUCACUAUAAUAAAUAUUGAAAUCUUAACCACCGGAAAAUGCUUCAAAAUUAAUACACACGCGCAGUCGCGCAUACUGCCAUAGAUACUGAAAAUUUGAGCACCCUCACCCCUGGUCGUGGACUACGACAAUACUCAGCAAUCAACGGCACUAAACUGCAGCCCUCUUGAAAGGUUCAGAUUGAAAAACGUAAUUUACAUGAACCAUCUAAGUGAGUUCGACUCAAUAUGUAGUCUAAAUACACAUAAAAUAACGUUUGGAGCAAAAAUUUAGACGGACGUAUUUUAAUGUUUCUAUAAUAUAGAGUCUCACAAGCUAUUUUCUUCCUUCUGGAUCUUAUAAAUAUCUUUCUAUCUCUAUCUCUCUCUCCCUCUCCGGCUCUCUCCUGUCUCCCCUCUCUCUGUUAAUUUGUCUACUAGUCCCUCCAUCCCGGCCGAUUCCUUACGUUUGGUUUGGGCACGAAGGUUAAAAAAUAUGGAUAAAGUAGUGGAAACGAGAAAGAAAACUGGGUGAAGUGGUGGGACCCAUUAAUUUUUAAUGUAUAAAAGGGAGAUAAUGGAGUAAAAUUAGUGUGAAAAUGGAAGAAAAGUGGAAAACUGGUGCGACCCGUUGACUAUUUUUGGUAAGUUUUGAAAUGUAAAGAAUUGGUUGGGACAGAGAAAAUAUUUAUUAAUAAUGAUGGAUCUCUACAAAUAUAAAAUUUCCAUCAAUUAAAACAAGUUAAAUAGAUCAAAUUUAGCGCUUAGCCUGUACUCAUGGACACACACUAGUCAAAUCUUAAUUUUGUUUCAACUUGACUCGGUUAAAAUAGAGAAAUUUAUAAAAAUGUUUAUAUUUUCAAAAAUACCGUCAGAACUGCAUAUAAGGCUUCAACGUUGGUUGAAAUCUAGUUGCAAUUGAGAUUACAUAAAUAAUUUAUGCAAUAUUUUUUACCAUAUUUUUGAAAAUAAAAUUUAUAAUUAUUUUGAAUAAAAUCAUUAGUCAAAUUUUUAAAAUUUGGUACACAGAAAUUUGUGUAUUAAAUUUGGUACACGGAAUUUUAUUAUAUAAGGAAAUCAGGAAAUCAUCCAAAUUCCAAAAGCUAUUGUUAAAGAUACGAAUGAACCACGAGGCAUUAUUUUUAUUUUCCGGAAGGAGUGAGGACUGAGGAGUGACGCUAAUAUUGAAGACAAAGGACAGGUGUUGAGAUUUAAAACUGAGUAGGUGGCUUAAAGCCUUAAACAAAUAACUGUUUCUUAAUUAAAUUAUUACCCUCCUAAAUAAGUCAAUACUCUGAUCACAAAAAUAGACUAAUCACCUAAAAUUAGUAGUCACUGUAUAUAAUACUCCUAAUUUACUAUAGAUCAUAGAUAAUAGAACCUGUAAGAUAAACUUUAUAUUAAAAAAAGGGAAAAUAGAUUUUUUUGCCACCCAACUUAUUAUUUGUUUAGAAACCUACCACUGAACUAUAAAUUUUUUCUUUUUUAUCACUAAUGUUAGGUUCGGACUUUUUUUUGACACUAACGUUAGGUUCGGAUUUGAUUAUUAACACUAUACUAUUUUUUUAGCAUUAUUAAAAUAUAGUGUUAGUCUGCAAUAUAAUGGCGAUCUGAUAUGUGUCUAUAACUUUAUAUGUAGUGUCCUAGAUAGUUUACCUUGGAGGACGAGAGUUGGACACGCAUUUUGAGACUCCAAAAAAUUUCAAAAAUUAUUUUAUUUUAUUUUUUCUGAAUAAAAUUUAUUGUUGGUUUUUUUUCCCCUUAAAAAAACGUUGGAUUUUUUUUUUGUCGCUAACGUUAUGUUUUGAUUUGAUUAUUAACAAUAUGUAAUUUUUUUUUAGCAUUAUAAAAACAUAAUUGUAGUCUGCAAUAUUAUGGUGAUAUGAUAUGUGUCUAUAACAUUAUAUACAGUCGUCUAUAUGUCCCCUAACUAGUUUACCUUGAAGUACGAGAGUUUAACAGGCAUUUUAAGAACCUAAAAAAUUUUAGUUUUAUAAAUUAUUUUAAGACUCCACAAAAAUAUAGUAUCACUUGACUUUAUAGUUCUUUACCACUCUUGUCACGUAUUUUAAGGUUCCCACUUUUUAUAAAUAUAGUUCCAUAAGUUAAUUUUGAGAUUUCUUUUCUGAGUAAAAAAAUCCGUACUCUCGUCCUCCAAGAUAAACUACCUAAGACACAUAUGGAGUACUACAUAUAAAGAUUUAGACACGGAUCACCAUUAUAUUGCAGACUACCGAAAAAUAGAUUUACGAAAAAUAUCGUUUAGAUGGUUGGAAAAUUUAAAUAAAGGUCUGAUUUUAAUUAAAUAUAAUAAAAUUUCCCAAAAUGCCCCUGCAAAAGUUAACGGUAACGGCAGAAGAUAACGGAAAGGGUGCAAAGUGUCUACGGGUUAAAAGUAAGAGGCUGCAUAGUGUUUAUUCCAAAACUAUUAGGUGCAAUGUGCAACAUGCUUAAAUCAAAGGGGUGCCAAAUGCAAUUAACUCUAAAAAGAAUAACAUAGUGUUAAUAAUCAAAUCCGAACCUAAUAUUAGUGACAAAAAAAAAUCCGAACCUAACAUUAGUGGCAAAAAAGAAAAAAAUUAUAAUUCAGUGGUAGGUUUCUAAACAAAUAAUAAGUUGGGUGGCAAAAAAAUCUAUUUUCCCUUAAAAAAAAAAACAAGAAUAACAUAAAGCAAUACAUGUGGACUCCAAAUGGUAGGUAGUUAAACAUACAGUAUCAAACAGACUUAUUGCUGGAUCCUAGCUGCUGCUUUUGAACUAACUCAAGAGUGUUGAGAAUUGACAGGUACAGGAAAACAUAACUGGCAAGGCUGUAAAGUUCAUCAAGAGGGCUAAAUGUAAUGUCAGCAGUUGAUCAGGUAUUAUUAUGAGACUCCGAGAAAGGUUUACAACGCGGCAUGUCUAGGUAGCGAGAGGAUUAUGGACUUGUCCGAUGAACUGCACAACUCCGGUCAUGUCUUCUCUGAUAAGGAAGAGAAAUGGGCGGUCUGCAACAAAGUCGAUCUUAUCGAACAUUUGUAAAGACCUC